CAGUCGCCGCGGUAAUACGGAGGGGGCUAGCGUUGUUCGGAAUUACUGGGCGUAAAGCGUACGUAGGCGGUUUUGUAAGUUAGAGGUGAAAGCCCGGAGCUCAACUCCGGAAUUGCCUUUAAGACUGCAUCACUUGAACGUCGGAGAGGUGAGUGGAAUUCCGAGUGUAGAGGUGAAAUUCGUAGAUAUUCGGAAGAACACCAGUGGCGAAGGCGGCUCACUGGACGACUGUUGACGCUGAGGUGCGAAAGCGUGGGGAGCAAACAGGAUUAGAUACCCCUGUAGUCCCUGUCUCUUAUAC
rnacentral:rRNA from 1 species